AUAUGUGUGUUCUACGGUUGGUAUGCUGGAAAUGGAGAUAAGCCGAUCCCAUCGAGCUGGUCUUUCUACAAGCAACGAGCUGAUCUUUAAAUAAGCAACGAUAUCGAUAAAUUGAUGUGAGAAUACUGGUAGCCAUGCUUAAUAUCCAAAAUUGAACGAACAUUUUUUUUGGCAAUUACUGAAUAUUGAUGCUCUAAAUUGAGUAGUUAGUCGAGUAUAUUCUUUCGAUUACUGAGCGCUGAUGACUAAACUGAGUAGUUAGUAUAGUAGUUUUGUAAGUAUUUUUAUUUCAGUUUCAGUAAUUUGUUAUUGCAAGCACAAUUAUUCUUUUUUGUCGCUUAGUUUAAACCCAGUAGGUAGUUUAGUAGUUCAGUAAUGAAAUACUAGACUAUCGAACUACAUGAGAUUGAAAUAGAGCUUAGUAACUAACACUACUGAAACUAAAAAAAAUUACUGAGCUCAAUCAUCUCAUGAAUCAGCAAGAUGUGCAACAUAGUUGAAUAGUCUAAUUACUGAAUCGUGUGCCCUUUUUGACCCGAUAUAUAUAUAUAUAUAUAUAUAUAUAUAUAUAUAUAUAUAUAUAUAUAUAUAUAUUGGAAAUGGAUAUAUGUUGAUUCCACCAAGCUAGUCAUUAAGCAAGCAACAGCGCAAACAAAUUGAGGUGAGGACAACAGGAGUAAUGUUUAAUAUCCAAAAUCACAUGUCCAUGUUUAUCGGUGAUUACUGAAUAUUUUGGCUAGCUAGGCUAGUUCUUUUUUUUAGGAUUUAGUAUCACAUAGUUGUGCUGGUCCAGAUGAAGGAGCGCCGCUGGGAAAAUGAAGGUUUUUUCGGGGUAUGUUGGAAAUGGAGACACGCUAAACCCGUCAAGCUAGUCAUUAAACAAGCAACGACGCUGACAAAUUGAGAGUUUUACCGGUGGUAGGUUUAUGUGGCAAUAACACCCCUUUCCGACUCAUCGUC